AAUAGAUACCCUGGUAGUCCAUGCCGUAAACGUUGGGAACUAGAUGUAGGGACCAUUCCACGGUUUCUGUGUCGCAGCUAACGCAUUAAGUUCCCCGCCUGGGGAGUACGGCCGCAAGGCUAAAACUCAAAGGAAUUGACGGGGGCCCGCACAAGCGGCGGAGCAUGCGGAUUAAUUCGAUGCAACGCGAAGAACCUUACCAAGGCUUGACAUAUACCGGAAAGCUGCAGAAAUGUAGCCCCCGCAAGGUCGGUAUACAGGUGGUGCAUGGUUGUCGUCAGCUCGUGUCGUGAGAUGUUGGGUUAAGUCCCGCAACGAGCGCAACCCUCGUCCUUUGUUGCCAGCACGUAAUGGUGGGAACUCAAGGGAGACUGCCGGGGUCAACUCGGAGGAAGGUGGGGAUGACGUCAAAUCAUCAUGCCCCUUAUGUCUUGGGCUUCACGCAUGCUACAAUGGCCGGUACAAAGGGCUGCAAUCCGUAAGGUGGAGCGAACCCUAAACGAACGGUCGUCAGUUCGGUACGUAGUAGGUCGUUCGCGAACCUACGACCGUUCCACGU
rnacentral:rRNA from 1 species